AUUUUAUGACUCCCCAGGAAGUGCUGGCGACCUCAUUAGUGAAUUUAGAACAGUCUUGCCUGAUCCUCUCCCCAGGGCAUGGGCUAGAUGAGUUAAGAAAACAAACUUCUCUGACUCAAAUAUAUUUACUUUUUCUGUUUCAGUUCUACACCUGUUGGAUUAGUGAUUUGGGGGUAGUAGCCAUUACUAAAUUUGUUUAGGAAAAAUCUAUUUAUUUCCCUUACUCUGCCUGCUUUUCUCACUAUAAUUAAAGAACACAAACAUGCAGGGUUUCUAAUGGCAAAGUGCUUCCCCUGGCCUGGGAACUGGCUUGCCACAGGUUGUAGCUCGGUAAACUGAGAGGUUUUUCUUCUAGAGAUACACUAAGGUCCCUUUGUACUGCCAUGGUGUGUAAAGGGGUCUUUGUGUAUGUGAGCAUGAGGUCCCUUGUGUGUUUUGUCCAUAUUGGUUGCCUCUGUCCCCCUACAAGCCUCCUGUGCAUCCUAAGAAAAUAUCUCCUCUCUCAGGGUGUCUUUUCCAUGUUCCAAACUAGCCUGCCAGCUAUUGCUUCAGUUUAGGAGGAUGCAGAAAUUCACACAGCUGCAGCCGGUCAGCUGAGUGCAUUCAGGUGCAUCUCAUUAACUGACCCAGUGGCGUAGCCUGAGCAGAUAUUCCCAUUAUCAGCGUCUGGACGAGGACUGGAGACUAGGGUAGGUCAAUGCUUGACACCAUCUACUUGGCGUGCUCUUCCCAGUGGGUUAGCUGACAUUUGCUCAAGCCAAAAAAAGAAGGUGGGUCAUAGAUGUCAAGGGAUUUUAAUUGGGAGUAAGAGUCUCUCUCCAAUGGGUGACCCUUAAGUGGCUGGCAGCAUCUUUUCGGUGUGCAACUGAAAGAUUACCGUUGGCGGGAAGUCUGUGCAUGAGGGUGCAUUCAGUCAGCAGGUGAGGGAAUGCUGUAAUGUUCAACUUAGAUCUCCGGGUGGCAGUGUCUGUGAGCUGUUCUCAAGCGCUGGUGAUGCUUCACCAGCUACAUUCGAGUUAAGGAAGAAGAAUUCGGAAUUGACCUUUGGAAGCAACAUAAAUAGACCAUUAUGUUUAAAAGGAGAAGAGACAGGCAAUAGAGAUGGUUUAGAGACUCAUUUAUUAAACUAGGGAGAGAGUCUCUUCAGGAUUUGCAUAUAAAUGAUUGCAUAAUAGUUGCUGCAGGAAAAUGUCUUAAAGUCCACCGGCUGCUGAGCAGAACAAGACCGGGUGUGGUUUGGAAAACAAGUCUCAGUAGCUGUUGGAAUAAUCUUUGCUUCUCAAAGGUGAGGAGUGUGAUUUCCAUGCUGAUGCCCUUGAUAUAUAGAGGGACCUGGGGUUUAAUGUAGCAACGUCUUUCGGAUGGGUGCGUUGGAGGCUCUGCCCAUAUUAUCUUUAGUGACGUGAGAUGAAUCCUUCAGGGUUAGGGACUGAAAUGUGCUACGGCCUCUUCUUCAAGAAAUACAUUUACAGCUUAGCCUGCUCGGCUGGAGGUGGUUUUGGUUUCCACCCUGGUCACAUCUCCUGCUUUUUCUUGGUUGGCUAGUCUGCCUUUAAUAAGGUCCUGCCACCAAGGUCUCCCCUGUAAAGCCAGUAUAUUUAAUAACCCUUCUCCUAACAUAAGGAAUUAUGCCAGUGUAGAUCCCUAGCCUCUGUGCCGAGACGCUGCUUUUGGGUACAAAUACUGCCUGCAAUUAUUUACUCUUUUCACAUACGUGCUAACAUAGCUCAUCAACUCGCUGCCAAAGCUGACAUUAAAAAGCAAUGCAAAACCCUCUUCCUGUGGAUCAGUAGGAAGUGGCUAGCCAAAACCUCCCCGAGUACCUUGCUGAAAGCUGACUUGAAUGGCCCUAAAACUAGGAUUUUGUUAAUAAAAAUAAGAAUGUGAGCUAACAAGGGAUCGAGUUUCAGGCUACUGCAGUCUGACAGUAAAUCCUGAAAACUUGGGUGAAGACUCAAACUCCACCUCGAUCAUUCCAGCAACAAGUACCCCGUAACACCACAGCUAGUGCGUUAUGCAUGUCUCGUAUCCUAGAAUAACUUAUGCUCAAUCAAACCUGAAGCACGUCAGUCUAUUGUAUUCAGAGUCAAUGCAUUCGAAUGUAAUUUCACCAGUUCAUGAGCCCAAGUAAAAUGUUACAUCAGCUAGACUAUUAAAGGCACAUUUCCACCUGUAUUCAUUUAGUCUCUGCUUCCCAGAGGUCCGGAGCAGCCUGGGCUCAGAGUGUGUGUAAAAUCUAUGCUGGUUAUCUUGCAUCAUAAAAUGAAUCCAUGGAAAGAUUUGCAGUGUGUAUCAAUACAAGUUAUGCCUGGUGAAGUCAAGUUUUCCACACAGGAAGUUUUUCGUGGGCUGAGAGAAUGUCUUGGAGGGUCCUCCAUUAUCCCUGUUUGCCCCCUAAGAAUUUGCAUUUGGCAUCUUCUCUUCAUGUUUUGCUCUCCUUUGUUUUUGCAGCCCUGAAUGGGAUCCCGAAUAUGUUUCUAAAAUAGGGAAGGCAUAGGUCAGCUCUGAAGGAUCACAGCUGGCUUCCACCUGUCCCAAAAAUGAUCCUCUGUGCUAGUUCAGAGGCUUAUGGUAAAUCUCCCGGCCAACAGCUGGGGACUAUACAGUGUCAUUCCCUGUAGAGGAGGAGUUUGUCAGCCUGAUACUUGGAAAGCAGGUUAUAUGCGUCAGGGAUGCCUGUCUUUUCUCUGAGUGGACUAGCUGUGCCAGGCUGGAACGUCGUCCUCUAGCUGAGUAAGUGCUCGAGAAUCCACUGCUUUGCAUUUGCUCUAGAAAUCAUGCUCGCUAACGAGAGAACAAACCUUCAUCUGCCAAUCCGGCCCGAGAGCAGACGAUUGAAAGCUUGAGGUGGGUACAGGCUCCUUUGAAUUCUAGCUGUUUCCCACAGGUGUUUUUAGUCUAGUCGUAUGAGUGCUUUGGUUCAUCGUGUCUUUGUUUUCUCUACAUCAGGGUUUUCUCGUGUCUAUGUUUGGUACAUACUAGAGUAUAGGUCAGAUCCGCAGUCCAGUUCCACUCCUCUCUGGUAGUGGCUGAUUCCCAAUUCUGCAGAGAACGGGAACCCUCUCCCCACACAGUGCAAGUGGGGCUAGCCGUGCCGUGCACUUUAAUUCCUUCCUGUCCCCUUGGUUUCCUCUCUCUGAGAACGGCGGUUCUUUCCUACUCUGAAUUGCUUCUUGCCAGACACGUUGUAAAAACCUGAGGGGAUAUUAUUCGAACAUGAAAUACCGGUGUAUUGACAUGAACUAUUAACUUUCACUCCAGGAAGCAUAACUAAAUCAUCCCUGCAUACUAUAUCCUGGCUGUACAGUACCAGACCACGGGGGCUCUGAUUCUUGAGGGGGGGCCUGUAAUGUAACACCUGCAGCCUUUCUGUCACCCCAUAUUCAUCUCCAGAUCCAUUUCAAGCCCUUUCAGGCCUGCUGUAUCCUCCCCAUGCCUCCCUUGCAGUGGGGCUGGCAUUCUUUUACGAGCACUGCCCUCAGCUGCUUGGAGCUCUUUCUCGGCUCCCACAUGCCAUGUCUUCUCUGUCUCCCCCAAUCCUUGCGUUUCACUUGGGUUUACAGUGAAGCUGCUCUCGCUGUUGGUUAGAUAAGGUGCACUGGGCUUGAUGGGCACAGGGUGCCAGCUGCCCAUGAGCGUGGGGCACUGGUGAUCUCAGGCAGCCUCCUUUGGGGAAAUGAUGGGAGAGGAAAGCUUCCCUCUGCCUUGGUGCUCUCCCUGUCCUACAAGUUUGUGGCAGAUGCCUCUUUUCGUUUCCCUUCUCGCUCUAGCAGUUUUUCCCUCGAAGGCUACAUCGACACAGCAAAACG